GUAUCUUUUUUAUUACGUACAAA
rnacentral:miRNA from 1 species